rnacentral:rRNA from 1 species
UACGUAGGGACCGAGCGUUGUCCGGAAUCAUUGGGCGUAAAGAGCGUGUAGGCGGCCAGGUAGGUCUGCUGUGAAAACUCGAGGCUCAACCUCGAGAUGUCGGCGGAAACCAUCUGGCUAGAGUCCGGAAGAGGAAAGUGGAAUUCCUGGUGUAGCGGUGAAAUGCGCAGAUAUCAGGAGGAACACCGGUGGCGAAGGCGGGUCUCUGGGCCGAUACUGACGCUGAGGAGCGAAAGCGUGGGGAGCGAACAGG